GCUUUCAUCUUCUAAUGAACUCUGUUGUUAUGAUGAAGUCCUUAGGACUAUUUAGAUUCGAUAAAGAGAGGAUUUAUCGAUUAGUCCUUAAAACUGUUUAUGACCAAAUGAUAGGCUGUUAAUAAGGACGACAGCUUCUAUCGAGCAUAGGUCACUGUAGGCCAUAUGGGUUGGUUGUCCUCUUAACCAAAGAGUGUGGAGAUACUGGUAUGGCAUACAGGUG
rnacentral:lncRNA from 1 species